GGAAUAUUGCACAAUGGGCGGAAGCCUGAUGCAGCGACGCCGCGUGAGGGAUGACGGCCUUCGGGUUGUAAACCUCUUUCAGCAGGGACGAAGCUUUUUGUGACGGUACCUGCAGAAGAAGCACCGGCCAACUACGUGCCAGCAGCCGCGGUAACACGUAGGGUGCGAGCGUUGUCCGGAAUUAUUGGGCGUAAAGAGCGUGUAGGCGGCUUGGUAAGUCUGCUGUGAAACCUUGGGGCUCAACCCCAAGCGUGCAGUGGAUACUGUCAAGCUAGAGGAUGGUAGAGGCCAGUGGAAUUCCCGGUGUAGCGGUGAAAUGCGCAGAUAUCGGGAGGAACACCAGUAGCGAAGGCGGCUGGCUGGGCCAUUCCUGACGCUGAGACGCGAAAGCUAGGGGAGCGAACAGGAUUAGAUACCCUGGUAGUCCUAGCCGUAAACGAUGAACACUAGGUGUGGGGGGAGUCGAAUCCCUCCGUGCCGAAGCCAACGCGUUAAGUGUUCCGCCUGGGGAGUACGGCCGCAAGGCUAAA
rnacentral:rRNA from 1 species